rnacentral:rRNA from 1 species
AUUGAACGCUGGCGGCGUGCCUAACACAUGCAAGUCGAGCGAAGCGAGGACGGGUGAGUAACACGUAGAUACCCUCAUAUAGGAAUGGGAUAACUUAGGGAAACCGGAUCCAAACCGGAUACUUAAAGGUGGUACCUCGCUGGAUUAGCUAGUGGGGAGGGAAACGGCUUACCAAGGCAACGAUGAAUAGCCGACCUGAAAGGAGGAUCGGCCACACUGGGACUGAGACACGGCCCAGACUCCUACGGGAGGCAGCAGUGGGGAAUCUUCCGCAAUGGGCGAAAGCCUGACCGAGCCACGCCGCGUGUGUGAUGAAGGUCUUCGGAUCGUAAAACACUGUUAUCAGGGAAGCGGUACCUAAUCAGUAAGCAACGGCUAACUACGUGCCAGCAGCCGCGGUAAUUC